rnacentral:rRNA from 1 species
UACGUAGGGGGCAAGCGUUGUCCGGAUUUAUUGGGCGUAAAGAGCGUGUAGGCGGCUGGGUAGGUCCGUUGUGAAAACUCGAGGCUCAACCUCGAGACGCCGAUGGAAACCCCCCAGCUAGAGUCCGGAAGAGGAGAGUGGAAUUCCUGGUGUAGCGGUGAAAUGCGCAGAUAUCGGAAGGAACACCUGUGGCGAAAGCGGCUCACUGGACCAUUACUGACGCUGAGGCGCGAAAGCUAGGGGAGCAAACAGGAUUAGAUACCCAGAGUACCACGAACAACAGUCCUGUCGUACC